AUGUGGUGGCUGUGGGCGAAAUAUAAGUGGAGAUGAUACCUGACCAGCAGAAGGUUGAAAUGAUUGUUGCCCAGCAGAAGGAGCUCCAGCAGGGGAAGGUUGAGGUGUAGUAGGAAAUUGUGGAGCCGGGAAACGCUGGAAGGGUCCAACAGUAGAAGGUAUGUAUGAUGCCGGGGAAGCAGGUCUAAAGCCAGAGGUCUGUGGUCCACCUGCAGGCCCAGAUAGUGUCGAAGGUAUUGUAGUUUGAGGAAACGCUGAUGGGGUAGCUCUAAAACCAGGGGCCUCUGAACCAACCACAGGACCAGAUGAUGAAAAUGGUGACAUAGUUGGAGGAACAGCAGCAAAUGGUGUAGUGGAAGAUGCCAUAGGAAAAUUAGGUCGACCAGGGUUUUCAGUCCCCAUGGCUUCUACAAAACAACUUUGUCAAUGUCGUAUAUCUAUGCUUCCAUAACCUGAUCAGAGAUUAGGUAAGGAGCAAAACUUUGGGUGUCCGCGUAACAGAAUGGCUAGAAUGAAUGUAAAAAGGUAGAGAAUUGAUUAUCUCCUUCUAGCUUUGCAUCGAGAGGGCGGAGUUGGAACGAAAAGAAAAAGGCUAGAGAGAGAAAUUGCGAUUGAUUAACUCGGAAAUUGGGCUACAGAAACCCUAGAUCCAAUCAACGUAGAGACGAAGAAAAGUAGCAGAGAUUUUUGAGAGAGAAAGAGAG
rnacentral:misc_RNA from 1 species